rnacentral:rRNA from 1 species
UACGGAGGGAGCUAGCGUUGUUCGGAAUUACUGGGCGUAAAGCGCGCGUAGGCGGCUUUGUAAGUUAGAGGUGAAAGCCCGGAGCUCAACUCCGGAACUGCCUUUAAAACUGCAUCGCUUGAAUCCAGGAGAGGUGAGUGGAAUUCCGAGUGUAGAGGUGAAAUUCGUAGAUAUUCGCAGGAACACCAGUGGCGAAGGGCGGCUUACUGGUCCAUAACUGACGCUGAGGUGCGAAAGCGUGGG